AUGUGUGGUCAUGCCACACUGAACACAUCUGUUCUCUGUAGCUAAGCAGGGUUGGGCCUGGUUAGUAAAUGUAUAGAAAAUGCCUGGGAAUACUGGCUGUUGUAUGCU
ensembl:rRNA 5S_rRNA 5S ribosomal RNA